UGAUGGCAAAAAGAAUCCCCAAGGAGG
rnacentral:piRNA from 1 species